GAUGAACGCUAGCGGAAGGCAUAAUACAUGCAAGUCGAACGGAUGUAGCAAUACAUUAGUGGCGCACGGGUGCGUAACGCGUAUGCAACCUACCCUCAUCAGGGGGAUAACUACUCGAAAGGGUGGCCAACACCGCAUAAUACUACUGAAUGGCAUCAUUUGGUAUUUAAAUCUGAGGAGGAUGAAGAUGGGCAUGCGUCUGAUUAGCUAGUUGGUGUGGUAACGGCGCACCAAGGCGACGAUCAGUAGGGGAACUGAGAGGUUGGUCCCCCACACUGGCACUGAGAUCCGGGCCAGACUCCUACGGGAGGCAGCAGUAGGGAAUAUUGGUCAAUGGUGGGAACACUGAACCAGCCAUUCCGCGUGCAGGAAGGAGGGUCUCUGACUUGUAAACUGCUUUAGCAAGGGAAGAAAAAGCUCAUGCGUGAGAAAUUGACGGUACCUUGAGAAUAAGCACCGGCUAACUACGUGCCAGCCGCCGCAGUAAAAC
rnacentral:rRNA from 1 species